rnacentral:tRNA from 1 species
UCUAUUUUGGCAGAUAAGUGCAAUGAAUUUAGACUUCAUGUAUGUGAAUUUAAUUUCACAAAUAGAA